UACGGGGGGGGCAAGCGUUGUUCGGAAUUACUGGGCGUAAAGGGCCAGUAGGCGGCCAACUAAGUCGGAUGUGAAAUCCCUCGGCUCAACCAAGGAAGUGCAUCCGAAACUGCUGAGCUUGAGUACUUAAGAGGAUCGCGGAAUUCCCGGUGUAGAGGUGAAAUUCGUAGAUAUCGGGAGGAACACCAGUGGCGAAGGCGGCGAUCUGGGAAGAUACUGACGCUGAGGUGCGAAAGCGUGGGGAGCAAACAGG
rnacentral:rRNA from 1 species